rnacentral:tRNA from 1 species
GUCCCAUUCGUUUAUCGGUUAGGACCUUAGAUUUCCAAUCUAAAGAGGUGGGUUCGAUUCCCACAUGGGGCU